UACAGAGGGUGCGAGCGUUAAUCGGAGUUACUGGGCGUAAAGGGCGCGUAGGCGGUGUGUCAAGUCAGGCGUGAAAGCCCCGGGCUCAACCUGGGAACAGCGCUUGAGACUGGCACGCUCGAGUUCGGGAGAGGAUGGUGGAAUUCCCAGUGUAGAGGUGAAAUUCGUAGAUAUUGGGAAGAACACCGAUGGCGAAGGCAGCCAUCUGGACCGACACUGACGCUGAGGCGCGAAAGCGUGGGGAGCAAACAGG
rnacentral:rRNA from 1 species